rnacentral:rRNA from 1 species
UACCGAGGGUGCGAGCGUUGUCCGGAAUCACUGGGCGUAAAGGGCGCGUAGGUGGCGACCCAAGUCGAUGGUGAAAGCUCGCCGCUCAACGGCGAGUCGGCCACCGAUACUGGGUUGCUGGAGCACUGUAGAGGCAGAUGGAAUUCCGGGUGUAGCGGUGGAAUGCGUAGAGAUCCGGAAGAACACCGGUGGCGAAGGCGGUCUGCUGGGCAGUUGCUGACACUGAGGCGCGACAGCGUGGGGAGCAAACAGG